rnacentral:rRNA from 1 species
UAGGGAAACUUACGCUAAUACCGCAUACGACCUUAGGGUGAAAGCGGAGGACCUUCGGGCUUCGCGCGGAUAGAUGAGCCGAUGUCGGAUUAGCUAGUUGGCGGGGUAAAGGCCCACCAAGGCGACGAUCCGUAGCUGGUCUGAGAGGAUGAUCAGCCACACUGGAACUGAGACACGGUCCAGACUCCUACGGGAGGCAGCAGUGGGGAAUAUUGGACAAUGGGCGCAAGCCUGAUCCAGCCAUGCCGCGUGGGUGAAGAAGGCCUUCGGGUUGUAAAGCCCUUUUGUUGGGAAAGAAAAGCAGCCGGUUAAUACCCGGUUGUUCUGACGGUACCCAAAGAAUAAGCACCGGCUAACUUCGUGCCAGCAGCCGCGGUAAUACGAAGGGUGCAAGCGUUACUCGGAAUUACUGGGCGUAAAGCGUGCGUAGGUGGUUGUUUAAGUCCGUUGUGAAAGCCCUGGGCUCAACCUGGGAAUUGCAGUGGAUACUGGGCAACUAGAGUGUGGUAGAGG